rnacentral:rRNA from 1 species
UACGGAGGGUGCAAGCGUUGUCCGGAUUUAUUGGGUUUAAAGGGUGCGUAGGCGGCUUGAUAAGUCCGUGGUGAAAGCCAACAGCUCAACUGUUGAACUGCCAUGGAUACUGUCGGGCUUGAGUACAGACGAGGUAGGCGGAAUUGAUGGUGUAGCGGUGAAAUGCAUAGAUACCAUCAAGAACACCGAUUGCGAAGGCAGCUUACUAGGCUGUAACUGACGCUGAGGCACGAAAGCGUGGGGAGCGAACAGG